UACGUAGGGCGCAAGCGUUGUCCGGAAUUAUUGGGCGUAAAGAGCUCGUAGGCGGCUUGUCACGUCGGGUGUGAAAGCCCGGGGCUUAACCCCGGGUCUGCAUUCGAUACGGGCUAGCUAGAGUGUGGUAGGGGAGAUCGGAAUUCCUGGUGUAGCUGUGAAAUGCGCAGAUAUCAGGAGGAACACCGGUGGCGAAGGCGGAUCUCUGGGCCAUUACUGACGCUGAGGAGCGAAAGCGUGGGGAGCGAACAGG
rnacentral:rRNA from 1 species